rnacentral:lncRNA from 1 species
CUAAGACACACCCUAGUGAAGAGACGGUUUGUGGAAUCCAUGGCAGAGGGAUUAGAGUGAUGGAAUGAAGAACCUCAGGGGCUAGGGGGUUUGUGGAGUGGGGACACCCUUGCGGCUGGUUGCUCUUACCUCUCUCUCCUCUCCCAGAGCACUAUCCCUUCCCAGUAUUGGUACUACAUGAUUGAACUUUCCUUCUACUGGUCCCUGCUCUUCAGCAUUGCCUCUGAUGUCAAGCGAAAGGAUUUCAAGGAACAGAUCAUCCACCAUGUGGCCACCAUCAUUCUCAUCAGCUUUUCCUGGUUUGCCAAUUACAUCCGAGCUGGGACUCUAAUCAUGGCUCUGCAUGACUCUUCCGAUUACCUGCUGGAGGUCAGGCUUCCUCAAAUCUAGAGACCCUGGUGCAGGUUCUUCUGUCCCUUUGGUUUUCUUUGGGAGGGAGGUGCGGGGUGGGAAUUUGGAGGAUGACAUUCCUGGGACCAAGGAGGAGGGCACAGAGUCAGUGCUCCUAACUGGAGUGUACAUAUGAAUGUACUCGAGGGAGUCAGGAGCCCAUGAUGAUGGAUGGGGGCUCUCUAUGCAGUCAGCCAAGAUGUUUAACUACGCGGGAUGGAAGAACACCUGCAACAACAUCUUCAUCGUCUUCGCCA